rnacentral:tRNA from 1 species
GGUCCGGUGGCUCAAUUGGUAGGGCGUCUGACUUCGAUCGAUUCCAUAACGGAAAACACCGUGGGUUUUCGGAAUUCAUCAGAAGAUUGCGGGUUCGAGUCCCGUCUGGAUCG